GGGACCUGUACUCGUUGCGGUGCAACGAUGGUUAAAGG
rfam:Clostridiales bacterium 1_7_47_FAA cont2.6, whole genome shotgun sequence.